UACAGAGGGUGCAAGCGUUGUUCGGAAUUAUUGGGCGUAAAGGGCGCGUAGGCGGCUUUGUCAGUCCGUUGUGAAAUCCCUCGGCUCAACCGAGGAACUGCGACGGAUACUGCUUGGCUUGAGUCCCGGAGAGGGUAGCGGAAUUCCCAGUGUAGCGGUGAAAUGCGUAGAUAUUGGGAGGAACAUCGGUGGCGAAGGCGGCUACCUGGACGGGUACUGACGCUGAUGCGCGAAAGCUAGGGGAGCAAACAGG
rnacentral:rRNA from 1 species